GACGAACGCUGGCGGCGUGCCUAAUACAUGCCAGUUGAGCGCUGAAGGUUGGUACUUGUACCAACUGGAUGAGCAGCGAACGGGUGAGUAACGCGUGGGGAAUCUGCCUUUGAGCGGGGGACAACAUUUGGAAACGAAUGCUAAUACCGCAUAAAAACUUUAAACACAAGUUUUAAGUUUGAAAGAUGCAAUUACAUCACUCAAAGAUGAUCCCGCGUUGUAUUAGCUAGUUGGUGAGGUAAAGGCUCACCAAGGCGAUGAUACAUAGCCGACCUGAGAGGGUGAUCGGCCACAUUGGGACUGAGACACGGCCCAAACUCCUACGGGAGGCAGCAGUAGGGAAUCUUCGGCAAUGGACGAAAGUCUGACCGAGCAACGCCGCGUGAGUGAAGAAGGGUUUCGGAUCGUAAAACUCUGUUGGUAGAGAAGAACGUUGGUGAGAGUGGAAAGCUCAUCAAGUGACGGUAACUACCCAGAAAGGGACGGCUAACUACGUG
rnacentral:rRNA from 1 species